rnacentral:lncRNA from 1 species
GGUUGGUGGUUCGGCCAGCUUUUCCAAUACCAUGGCUUUUGGAUAUCAGGUUUUUGUAUAAGAGGAAGCAUGUUGAACCAUGACCACUUCAAGCCUCGAUCCACAGACAUCGUCGUCGCAACAUCCCCUAAAUGUGGCACCACCUGGCUCAGAGCCCUCGUUUUCUCCAUUAUCAACAGAGCUUCCUUUGAUUUCAGCGACCAUCCUUUGCGCAAAGCAAACCCACAAGACUUAGUCCCAUUCUUCGAAAAAAUUAUUCAUAAAGAUGGGUCAACUUCCUUCGUCGAUGGGAUUCCUUCACCUCGCCUUCUUUCAACUCACCUUCCUUACUCUUUGUUCCCAACACGCAUGACCGAUGAUACCUCGGCUUGCCGUUUCGUAUACAUCUCCCGGGACCCCAAAGACGUUUUCGUUUCAAAGUGGCAUUUCGCGAGCAAGUUGAGACCCAAAGAACUGCCACCACUUUCACUAGAGGAAACCUUUGACUUGUUUUGCAAAGGGGUUUCUCACUAUGGACCGUUUUGGGAUCACGUAUUGGGGUACUGGAAAGCUAGUGUGGAGUCACCGAAGAAGGUGUUGUUCUUGAAGUAUGAAGAUGUAAAGAAGGAGCCUUUGGGUUGUGUGAGGAAAGUUGCAGAGUUCUUAGGAGUACCCUUUACACCAGAGGAAGAAAACAAAGAGAUUGUGGAACAAAUAGUGAAGCUGUGCAGUUUUGAGAGCAUGAGCAAUCAAGAUGUUAACAAACUUGACAAAAGAUAUCAGCAACGUCCUGUUAGCAACUCUGAUUUCUUCAGGAAAGGUGAAGUUGGAGACUGGGUUAACCAUUUGUCACCUCAAAUGGCUGAGAAAUUGGAUCAGAUUACUGAAGAAAAACUUCAAGAUACUGGAUUCAACUUUCAUUGACUCCAAAGUAUCUCACUGAAUUUGAUUCAUAUUUGAAUGAAGAUUUUCUUUUUAAUUACGUGAUUUGCGUAUUAUGUGUCUUUUUCUAUGUAAUCUUUUUUGUAUCUUCAAAAAUAAUAUAAUACAUCAAGAAUAUCAAAUUAUACAUUAUUAUUUUAACUCUAAAAUUAAUAUAUUUUUAUAAAAUUCUAGAACCCUACGUUUUAAAAUUCUAGACUUUAAAACUUAAAUCCUAGACCUCUUUUUAGACACUAGACCUUAAUUUAACACUUCCUCUAAAAUUAUAAAUCUUAAAAUUUUAAAUUCUAACUGACCAUACCAUAAAUCAUAAAUCUAGUUUAAAAAACCAUACACCUUAUGCUACUAUUACUAUUUGUUACUUUUAUUUAAUUUUUCGAACUAGAAUAGAUUAGAACAACAUUAAACUAAAAAUCGAAAUGUAUCCGAAGUUAAAUUAGAAUAAACUAAAAAUACAGUCAAAUCAAUACAAAACACCAAUAAACUAAAAAUUAGAAUAAUCUAAAUUUAAAUCAAAAUAAUUAUUCAAGUUAUAUUUUGCAUUAUAUUAGAAUUGGUGUUGAAAUUGUAAAAAGGAAAAUGAUUAAUAUGGUAUUCAUGAUUCUUGUUUUCAGAAUACGAUAUUGAUAUGAGGACAACUUAAUUACUUGAUGUUUGAAUGAGCUGGCGGCAAUUAGCUUUUAUUCUAUGUUGAGAUACCUACCGCCAUUAAACAAAUCAAUAUUUAAUUUAAAACUACCACAUCAUAUGGCAUACAGAAAUUAAAAAUUGCCUGUUACUGUUACUUGAGUAAAAUAAAAAUCGAUCAUUUGCAAAUCCUUUUUCCAUAAUUUCCCUUCCCCAUGGAGAAUUCAAACUUUUUCGCCAUUGAGAAAGAAUUAAAGCUCGAUGAAGGGUACCAAAAGACAUACAAAAACGUCGAUGAACUGCUGCCCACUCUCCCUCGAAGUAAAGGCUGGUGGUUAGACCAGCUUCUUCAAUACCAAGGGUUCUGGUUAUCAACUUACGGCAUUCCAGGAAGUAUGUUGAUCGAUGACCACUUCAACCCUCGUCCCACUGACAUCAUCAUCGCAACAUCACCUAAAUGCGGCACCACGUGGCUUCGGGCCCUCGUUUUCUCUAUUAUCAACAGGAAUUCUUUUGAUUUCAGCGACCAUCCUUUGCGCAAGGCAAACCCUCGAGACUUGGUCCACUUUCUCGAAGCACAUAUUCGUGGAGAUGGGUCCACUUUAUCAACGCAGCAUAAAUUGUUAAAUCUAUAUCUAUAUAAUCUAAUAUAUAUAUAAAGAAGAGUUUGGAAAAUGUAAAUAUCUUUUAUUUAUAUUACUAAAUUUAUAUUUAAAAAUAAAAAAAAAAUUAAAGUAAAAAUAAAUUUGUGAUAAUUAUACAUUUAAAGUAAAAAUUAUGUUAAUUUUAAAAUGAAGUUAUUACUUGAACUCAAAAUGAUGGUUCUCGAAGCCACCAAAAAUAAUUUUUCUAUGCCUAAACAAUAUAUAAAUGGUAUCAACCAAAUUGUGCAUCUAGGCAGCUAUCAUGUCUAAGAUGUGUGCAAACAUAAAAAAAGAAUAUUUAAAUAUGAUAAAAUAAUUGAAAUCGAAAUAACAAUAAAAAUAGACAGAAAUGGAAUUUAAAUAAAUAAACUGAUAUGAUGAAACUCCAACUUCAGGCUCGAUGUUGUUCUGAUUUCGAACCGGUCAUUAAUAACAAAUAUUCUCCUUCAACCGAUAAAUUAAUUAUAAUAAUUGAAGACAUCUCAAAUCACUAACACUUUUAUGUAUAAAUCAAUUGUGAAAAUUCUCAACAAUUAAUAUUUACAUGUCUCCACAAUUUAACUCUCCAAUAAGGGUUUUUUACAAAAAUAUUAUAAAAAAAUAAAAAUUUACCAAAAUAUAAUCCUUUUUUUAUUUACUAAAAUAUUAUAAAAAAAUUUUAUUUACCAAAAUAUACUAAAAAAAACACAAAAAAAACUGACACAGCCUGAUCACGCCAAUGUCAUUGGUGGCACCAAUGGUGCCAAUGCCAUUGGCGGCACCAAUGUGCCAAAGGACUAAAAUGUGACCACUUGUAGUUUCAAGGACCUGACAUGCAAAUUUACCAUUUUAAAUUUUGAAAGUGAAUUGCUGUUGUUGUGCGCACUAAAAGUGAAAUGUGGCUAAUUGCCUUCUAAGCCCUCCUUACUUAUUAUUUACUUUUUAUUCCCUUCAACUCACUUUUUUAUUUAAUAAGCAAGCCCUCAACCUAUUUUUGUAGUUAAAUAAGCUCUUAAUCUAUGAUUUUUACUCAUAAAAGUAAUUUAUUUUAUUAUUAAAGUAAAUAUGUUUUACCUAAAGUAAAGCUAUUUAAAAAAGUAUAAACUAAUUCGCAUUUUAUGUAUUAUUUUCGUAAUUUGAUGAGAAUAGUUUAUUUAAAAAAUUUACUAAAUUUGAUGAGAAUAGUUUAUAAUUAUACUUUAUUUUUUCUAUUUGGGUUACAUUUAUAGGUGAUCAGUUUUAUUAUUACUUAUAGUUAAGUGAUAAUUAAGAUACUUAGAAUUCUAAUUAAGUAAUAACUCUAUUUUAAUUUAAUAAACUAUUCUCAUUUAAUAACUAUAUUUUAAAUUAAUAGAAAUAUCAGACAUGCCUUAUUGAAAAACCAGAAGUAAUAAUAAAACUGAUCACCUAUAAAUGUAACCCAAAUAGAAAAAAUAAAGUAUAAUUAUAAACUAUUCUCAUCAAAUUUAGUAAAAUUUUUAAAUAAACUAUUCUCAUCAAAUUACGAAAAUAGGUUAAGGGCUUGUUUAUUAAAUAAAAAAGUGAGUUGAAGGGAAUAAAAAGUAAAUAAUAAAUAAGGAAGGCUUAGAAGGCAAUUAGCCACAUUUCAAUUUUAAUGCGCACGUAAUUCACUUUCAAAAUUUAAAAUGAUAAAUUUGCAUAUCAGGUCCUUGAAACUACAAGUGGUCACAUUUUAGUAAUUCACUUUCAAAAUUUAAAAUGAUAAAUUUGCAUAUCAGGUCCUUGAAACUACAAGUGGUCACAUUUUAGUCCUUUGGCACAUUGGUGCCGCCAAUGGCAUUGGCACCAUUGGUGCCACCAAUGGCAUUGGGGUGCCGCCAAUGGCAUUGGCGUGAUCAGGCUGUGUCAGUUUUUUUUUUGUGUUUUUUUUAUUUUUUUAGUAUAUUUUGAUAAAUAAAUUUUUUUAUAAUAUUUUAGUAAAUAAAAAAAAGAUUAUAUUUUAAUAAAUUUUUAUUUUUUUAUAAUAUUUUUGUAAAAAACCCCUCCAGUAACGUAAAGUAAAAAGGUCCCAACGCAAACCAACCUUCAAAGCCUAACCGGCUUUGGAAUUAUUUAUAGGCAAUAAUGUUAUCUUAUUUCUGGAAGUUCAAAUUUAAUAUCUUAACCGAUUCAUAGCUUGUGCUUCAGCCUUAUUCCAGCAAUGAUUAAUUAAUCAUUUUUAAGCAAUAUAUUAUUAACCAUGUUUAACAUUUAUAACAAUGGAAUACAUGAUUCGGUUUGGAAUUAGUUUUUCUAUUUCCAGCUUAAUUUUCAAAAAUAAAUAUAUAAAUUUUAAUAUAUAAAUAAAUAUAAAUUAUAUAUUUUUUAUAAUUAAAUUUGAUAAAAAUAUUUAUAUUAUUUCUAAUAAUAAAACAGAUUAUUUUGGCAUAACGGUUUCAAGCUUAAUUUUUUUAAACAUUAAUUUUAUUAUAAGUUUUAUCAUAUAUGUUCUUUCCCAAUCCUUUAAGUAGGAGGAUAAUACGUUUCAGUGUACUGAAACCCACAUCAUCUUACAUUAACAAUAAUAUCGAUACCAAUAAAAUUAAAACUCAAUCGACCACUUAAUUUUUUUUAAAUCGAAUUUAAGCUUCUUCUUAUCCAUCAACGCUUCCAAUGCAUAUUGAAAAUCAAGCUUACAUUUAGUGAAAUGCGACAAUUUAUUUUGUAUGGUCAAAAUAUUGUGUAUAUUAAAUUAUAGCAUAUUCAAGAUGUAAGUGAAAAAUAAAAUUAUAUGAUAAAUAUAUUUAUAAAAAAUUUAUAUAAAUAAAAAGGUGAAAACCUAAAGUAGCAUGAAUUUAAAUUUUAUUAUGUAUUUAUUUUCUAACUUUUAUAUAAAAGGUAUAACAUGAUACAAAUACUCUCAAAAUAAUAUAAUUUAUUUUGUAAAAUGAGGAUAUUUUUAGUUUUUUUUUCCAACUGAGUUGGUAUUCAAUUAAUUCAUAAACACAAACUCUAUUAGGAACUUGACUAUCAACCAUCUAAAAUAGUAACAAAAUUGAGUCUGCCUUGUGGCACGAAUUAGGGUUUUUUGUUUGCCUUGUUGCACAAGUUUACGUAUUGAGUUUAUUUUGUUAGGGUUCGUGGUGUGCAGAAAGGUUAGAUCUCAUAUUCAAGUGUGUGUUAUGGCUAAUCUUAAUAUGGUGGGGGCAGAUCUAGCAAAUCUCAAUAUUAUGGAUGAGGAGAAAGAUCCGUUGGUGGUGGUAGGGGAUGAUAUGUCUGCUGAUCCAGAAUAUGGAUUAUGUCUGGUAGGGUGAGUUCUCACAGAUAGUAUUGUGAACUUCCCAUCUCUAAAAAAUACGCUGGCAAAUUUGUGGCACCCGCUAAGAGGAGUAUCUAUUAUGGAAAUUAAAGAUAAGCAUAUUUUAUUUCGGUUCUAUAGUAAAAUUGAUUUAAAACGGGUUAUGGAUGGCAUGCCAUGGUUUUUCAAUCGACAUCUGAUAGUAUUUCAUAGGCUAAUAAGGGGUGAGGAUCCAUCAAUAGAUUCGUUAUGGACUACAACUUUCUAGGUGCAAAUCCACAAUUUACCAGCUGAAUUUAUAACAGAAAGGAUGGAGCAACAAUUAAGGGAUUUUUAUUGGAAAAUUUAUGGAGUAUGACGCAUCGAUGGUCAAAAGGGAUUAGUAAAUAUAUACAGAUUCGAGUUACAAUGGAUACAGGAUCCUACUUAAAGGAAGAAACGGAUUGGUAUUGGGCAAAAUAAAUUCAUCUAUGCAUUGUUUCAAUAUGAAAAAUUGUCGUUAUUUUGUUUUUUAUGUUGUCGUCUUGGUCAUGGAGAGAGUUUCUGCCUAGUACGAUUAACAUUAAGGGAUCAACAAGUGGAUUUUGGCUAGGACCUAUCUUUAAGGGCUACGCCAAGAAGGGAAGGGAUUGAUGAACAAAUGGUUGCGGGAGGAAUCUGAGAAUGAAAGGUAGGCAAAUAUGGAUAUCGAUAGGGAGAAUACGGUAAAAACAUAAAUGAGGCACGGGUUUGGUGGGGCGGUUUAUGCGAUAUACAAGAAAGCCUAUGGAUUUGAGGAUUGAAUAUAAUAUGGGACAAAUUGAGGGAAGGAGAGAUGAAGUAGAGUUAAAAGAUAUGCCUGUAGAAUUUGUGGAUUGGAAGAAAAGGAAAAGAUUUAAUCUUGAAGUAGGUGGUCCUGAUAACAGGAGGGGCUUGCUGGAGGGAGGAUUGGAAAAUGUAAUAUCGGCUGCCACUACCGAGCAGGCUGACCGAGCACAAUAAAAAUAUUCAGUUGGAAUGUUCAUGGCUUGGGGCAGCCACGAGCAGUCUAUCGUCUCAAAAAUAAGUUGAGACACAUUCAACCCCAUAUUUUGUUUCUUAUGGAAACAAAGGUUGCUAGUAAACGUAUGGAGAAAAUAAGGAGGAAGUGUGGAUUUGAACAUGGAAUUAACGUUGAAGCAGAAGGAACAAGAGGGGGGAUUAUCGUUGGGAUGAAGAGAAGGAAUGAAUUUAACUUUAAAAAACUUUUCAAAAUCUCAUAUUGGUGUGAAGGUGGAUGAAGGGAAUGAAAAUAGUGUAUGGAGUUUCACAGGUUUCUAUGGAGCGCCUGUGGAGAAUGAUCGAAAAUUUCGAACAAAAUUUUCACGAAAUCUUUCCAUGAAAUUGUAGACCAUAAAAAUAUAAUAAAAAUAAUUUUUUUCCUCAUUGGAUUUAUGGUCUCGAAACCACCGUUCUGACUAGGCCCAAAAUUGGGCUAUUACAUGACCCUAUCACAGCCCGUGUCGUCACCCGUGUAACUUACUGAGUAGGGUCACACAGCCGUGUGGCAGACCAUGUGCCAGACCGUGUAACUCUCUGAGUUGUCACACACGCCCAUGUGCUAGGCCUUGUAACUCACUAAAUUGAAACAAUAGAAUUUUACAAAUGACACAUGGCCGUGUCGCCAGGUCGUGUGUGUCGUAGGAUAGUGUGACAACUCGUGUCCCAGGCCGUGUGAUCCCAAAAAUUUACCUAAAAUCAAGUCAUGUCAAUUCUAAUUCAUACCUAAUAAUUCAAACCAUUUGGACAUAUAUUCAAGGGAUUCAAACAUAUUUAAACAUACAUAAUCAUGCAAUUCCAAACAGCUUAAAUCACCUAACCAAUAUGUCAUUCAAAGGCACCACAAUUGUAUCAAAACAUCACUUACCAAACACAAGUCAAUAUUGCAUAUUCCUAAGCAUAAUAACUUAGUUCAACUAACUAUCAUACAUGAACAUUUGCAAGCCAUCAAAACAUACCCCAAAGAUCCUUAUUUACAAGCACAUAAAAGUGACCAAAAUAACAUAACUUGGUGAGGUGUUAAGAUUCACCAAACCAAAUAUAAACUUCAAAACUGUGAAAUGGGCCUGCUCACAUGAGCUGUGGGUCGGAAUGUUAGCUACACAAUGUUGCUCACACGAGUUGUGAAAAAUCCGCAAUAAAUGUUGGAUCUUAGCCAUCAGUAGGACAUUCAAGACCAGCACCUGAAACAUGAAAUCCCUAAUGACAUGUCAUUCGUAUCCUAAGAAUUCUUAAGGUUCAACUAGGACUCGUUAUCCGUCGGUUCAACAUAGCAUGGAUACAUUUAUAUAGAGAGUCAUUUAUAUUAAAACAACAUGGCAAAUAAUCAAUUUAACUAACAUUAAAAUGAUCAUAAUUCUUACGAACUUACCUCGAUAACUAGGGUGUAGAAGUAGAAACGAACAUUAAUCGAAGCUUUAGCUUUUCCUUUAUUUAAGUCCAAAUAUGGUUUAUCUUGAUAUAAAUAAAUAAUUUCAAUCAAUUAAGUACUUUUAGUAUUCAAUUUAAUCCAUAGUUCAUAUUUAUGAAAAAUCACAAAUUUUCCCCUAACAUUUUAACUUUUAACAAUUUAGUCCUUAAGCUCAUAACUUGAAAUUUAACCAUUUUAAUCCUCCAUACUAACUAUCCAAUUUUCAUAGCUUCUUAUACCAACUCACUUAAACCAUCAUUUCAUAAUUUUAACUUGAAAUUUUACUAUUUUCACAAAUAAACCCCUAAAUACAAUUUCACCAAAAUUAACUUAACAAAACUUGUUUAUUUUACAACAAAGAUAAAUAAUCCAUAAAAUAACAUCAAAACACAUUCAAAAGCAUUCAUGGAAAGUCCCUUAACCUUUACUAGUUUUACAAAUUAACCCCCAGCUAACUAGAUUAAGCUAAAACAAGCUUAAAAACAUAAAAAUCAUGAAAAACAAGUUGAAAAACACAUACCAUGCACUAGAACAAGCUAGUUGAACCAAGCAUUCAAAAAUGGUGUUCUUCUCCCCUUAAAAUCGGUUAAAGAUGAAAAUAAAAAAUGAUACAUGCUUUAAUUUCUUUUGUUUUAGAUUUAAUUUCUAAAUUACCAUUUUAACCUUAUUAUUAACCAAAAUUUUCAUUAAAACCUAUCCAUAAACAUCCAAUAACUUCUUUAAUUUUUAUAAUUAUCAUUCAAGUCCAUUGAGUUUCAUUUCCAUAGCCAGUUGACCCCUUUAACUAAUAGAACUCAACUUUUUCACCUUUUAUGAUUUAGUCCUUUUUACUUAAUUUACCUUUUAAACAUCAAAAUUUCUUAGCAAAAUUUUAAUACGACCUAAAUAUAAUCCCGUAGAAAAUAAAUGAAUAAUAAAAUAAUAACUUACUUCUCAAAAUUCUGGUCUCGAAACUACUAUUUUGACACCACUGAAAACGUGUUUUUACACUUAUCAUGUAUAUGCCAAGAGUUAGUUGGGAUUUAUAUGUAAUGAUUUAUUUCCUAACCUUAUAAUGUUGUGUAUAGGAAAGGAAGUUUGGCAUACGACUUGAUGAGAGUAGGUUUGGUUGUUUAAUUUAAUAUGAUUGGUAAGUUAAGUGUCGCCUAUACGAAUUUACUAAGCAUUAAAUGCUUACGUAAUCGUUUCCUCUAUCUUGUAGUUUAUCGAAAAGUUCAGUUGGUUGGAAUCUCGUCGGAGUAUCGUCACACUAUCUAUUUGUAAUAUUGGUAUUUAUAGUUAUUUUAGUUAAUGGUUAUAAAUGGCAUGUAAUAGGGUUAUAAAUGUAAUCUUGGUAAUUGGUUUGUUUUUAAAUGGUGCCAAGUUCAUUCAUUUUCGUAUCAUUCAAUGAAAGCUUAAAUGACGUAUAUUCAUAUGAGAUAUUAGUAACUAUGCAUGCCCUCAUGUGAGUAGAAAGAAGAAAAUUUUGUGUGAUAUAUUUGAUAUGGUUAUUUGGUAUAUAUAGGACUUUGUGUAUUGGUAGUUUUUGGAUAUCGUAAUGGUCAAUUUGGUAUGUAUAUGCCUUUGAUGUUCAUGUUUGGUUUAAUGGACUUUUAAUGCCUUCUCAAGUUAGGUCAUUUUUGGCCAUUUUUAGGUACUUGAAAUAUAAGACUCUUUUUGGUAAGUUUGUAAUGGCAUGUAAAUGCUCAUAUGUGAUACCAUUUGGUAAAUAAAUAAACUAGGUUUUGUGCUUGAGUAUGAAUAUAUUGAAUUGUGUGGUUAAUGAUGUUAUGGUAUAAAUGUGAUGCAUUUGAAUUCCAUAUUGGUUAGAUGGAAUAGGAUAAUUGAAAUGGUAUGUUUAAAUGUGUUUGAAAAAUGUUUAAGUCUCUUGAAUGUGUGCACAAAUGGCAUGGUUGGCUAAUUGUGUCACACACGGCCUAAUUUUAGGGUCAAAUUAUGGAUCACACGGCCUAGGACAAGGGCUGUCACAUGGCCUGGUGACACGACCGUGUGUCAUUUGUUAUUUGUUUGUGUAUCAAGACAAAGAGUUAAACAGUCUAACACACAGCCUACGACACUGUCGUGUGACCCAACUCAGUGAGUUACACAAGUUGAGACAUGACCGUGUGUCCCUUUGUUUGUUUAUCACACGGGUUGAAACAUGCCUCAAAAUUAUUAUAAAACCAUUCAAAAUAAAUGUCCAAUGUCCGAAGUCCAUUUACAGCCAAAAUCAAACUAAUUCCCAAUAUACCACAAUGCCAGACUACAGUCUCUAAAAUGCGUAAUAAAGUCUCUACCAAGCCUAAAUCUCUUGGAACUCUCUUGGUCGGCUCCUCAGCUCUUCAAUCCUGAUGAAUAUCUGCACGAAUGUAAGCUCAGUGAAUGUUAAAAAAAACAAUAAGUAAAUUAACAUCAAAUUCAUGCUUAAUUCACAACCAAUCAUUCACCAAUUGUUAGCUAAAAUAAUUAAACAUGUCAAUUUAAUUUUCAUAAACAUUUUAAUACCGAAAAUCAAUUAUUCAUGGCUUUCAAUCAUCAAUUGAUAUAGCAACAAUCACACAAAAAUAUAUAUUGGCAUUCAUUUCUUAUGGCUUAAUCGGGUGAUCAUACAUCAGGUAAACGAAUCUCUGAACUCCCACAAAUAUCAAAUACAGUCCACUGAGUUAAGUGGACCGAAGCACAUGCUCCAUUAUAGCGCCUCAAAUAACCCAUUGAAUGGAGACUUAUGUUCAACACUUCCUUAUCUACUCCAAGAAAUCAGUCCAUCUAGAGCCUCAUUGCUCACAAAUAACAUUUCAAUAUAGUGAGUACUCACAAAUCCUAUGGCAUGACAACUAUAUCCAAUGGAUCCACCAUGCAUGUUGCCAAUAUAUUCAAUCAAACAUAGCAAAUAAUAAGUUAUUAUUAUGCUCAAUUUAAUGUGACAAAAUGAUUAUGCAUAUUGCACAUUUACAACCAAUCCAUCAAAAAUUAACCAUUCAACCAUAAUUAAUUAAUUGUGAUAAUUAAUUAAGCUUCUAAUUAAACAUAAUUAAGGGUCAAUUUACCAAAUCACCCCUAAAAACACUCACCACACAAUUUUUUUCUACCACAACAAGUGAUCAACUAGGCAAGUUCGAGCUUCGAUUCCGGUUAUCUCGGUCCUCUUCAAGAUUUAGAGUUUAAACAGAGGUAAAGUAGACAUUAUCCCCUUUUCAAAGCUAUAUUAAACACAAUUUUUAAUUAACUAUGCUAAUAGAAAUUUACUCACAAAGAUACAUUACCGAAUUUGUAACAUCAAGUCGAAAACUCGAUUCCUCACAAAAUCGACCUCCCCAACCCUCCUAAUCACUUCCAAACAUCAAUACUAAAACAAUUACAUGUAAAAUAAGAAUCAAUUUCACAAAAAUCCAGAAAAUUAAUUCAAGAAGAUGAUGAAAUUCAGAUUUCUUCAAAUUCCCUCACAAAUCAUGUUUAAUCUUGAUAAAUAAGAUCAAAAACCUUCUAAUAGAUCCAAUUGAGUUGGAAAAUCUAUUGAUUCGUGGAUCUCCUCUCAAAAUUAAAGACCCACCAUUAAAGCGCCUUAAGCUUUUGAAGAAGAUGACAUUGAUAAAAAAAAUCAUGCAAUUGACUCUCAAAUCAUGUAAAAUUGUUUCUAAUCAUCAUAAAAAUAAGUUUAGAAAUGAUAAUUACCUUUGAUUCGUUUUAAAUCCUUUGAUUCAUUUUAAAUCCUUUGAUUGAAAUUCUUCAUUCAAUAAUCUUGAAAAUUUUCAGAAUAUUUUUGGAUACUUUUGAGAAUAAUUUCGGGUGAAAAGAGAGAGUAUUUUGAGAAGGAAAUUGUUUGGAUCUAUGAUUUGAUGAUAGAUCUUUAAAUCCAUGCAAAGAAAAUCAAAUUUAUAUAUAAUAUGAUGUGAAUGGUGUGAAAAAUAGGCUAGAUGCAUUGUUUCUAAAGUUGAAACAACCCACCAGAACUUAAAAACUGGGGAAUUUACCUAAUGGCCACUCCUACAUUUCCCUUGUUUUACCAUUUAAUCUUUUCCCUAAAAAAUUUAAAAUUUUAAUGUUCAUUUGCCAAAUAAAUACCCCCAAAAUUUUCCUUAUUUUACAAUUAAAUCAAAUUUAAUUAAUAUUUAAAUUUAACUCAAUUUAACCCUCAAUAAAAAUUGUUUUAAAAUUCUUUUUGGACCCAAAUUAAUUAUUUUCACUAAUAAUUAUUUAAUUACUUUAAAAUUAAUUUUUCAAAAAUAUUUUAUUUUUCUAAAUUAUUUUUUAAUUGAUUUUAAAUGAAAUUAACCUCCUAAAUUAAAUUAAGAAUCACUAAAAACCCUAUAAUUUCAUAGUUUCACACUCGAAACCUGAAAAAUACACCCGAAACUUCUAGACUUGGUUUAGGGAUAUUACAUGAAGACUAGACAGACAAAUCACGACAUGAAGGCGUGUAAGCCCAUGUGACGGAGACCCAUAGUAUGAUAUGUUGAUAAGAAUAUUCAUAGUGAUGCCUUUGAUGAUAUAUAAAUCAAACUGGUAGAUCAUGACAUGAAGAUAUGUAUAAGCCCAUGAGGGAGAAACUCAUGACGCCUUAUGUGAAAGUCUACUGGUACAGUAAAAAUGUGACUCUGUAUGUGGCCUGUGUGGCGUGAUCUGCUAAGCCAUACUGGCAUAUUUUGUACUUCCAUUGUGGCAAAUUUUGUAGCGCUUAUGUGGCGUAUUCAAUGAUAUGUGUGUGAGGCAGAAUAUACUAUCUGCCCUUGUGGUAAGUUUGAUGACUUCUUCAAAAUAAGAUUCUACGAUAGUGGUAUGAUACAUCUGAAAUUAACUUGGUAUGAUUAGUCUUGUGUUGUUUUUGAAUGACUGUAAAAGGAUGGUUUCGGAUAGAAAGUAUGUAUCUGCAUUUCUAAGAAAGAAUCCACUAUAGCAAUCUGUCAGUAUAGGAUAUGGGUAUAUUCAUAUAUCUGAAAGGUACAAGUAUUUGUUUGUUUGAGUUUUAUCUAUGCUAUGUGUGAAUAAAGUAUGAGAUCUGAGAUCCGUUUAUGUGAAUAGAAUUAUGUAUCGUCCAGGGGUUUAUUGGAAUAUGAGUCGUUUGUCUAUAUGGGUGUUCUUAUGUUAUGUAUCAUAGACGUAUGAGAUUCUUCUAAUUUUUUGGAAUCCUUCCUCAACUAUAUGAUCAUGUAUUGGUUUUGAGUUAGAAUAUGAUUGGAUUGAUAGUCUGAUGAAGGUUAACAAACUCAGUAUGUGAAUCUGCCAACCGUAAGAUCAAAUUGUUGUAUCCGUCAAGAAAGAGUAUAUGUGGAUGUCCAUUUUAAGAUAAAUGAGAUGUUUCAUUUGAAGGGUAAAUUUGUAGAAAGAGGGUUUUGUAUAGAUAUCUUUUUGAAGAAUUUUCGUGUUAUUAAGGUAAAAAAAGGUAUAGAUAUUAUCUGGUAAGAUUUGGAGACAACCAAAUAAUGAAGUGAAAGUUGAUACAUUAAGUAUGGUAAUUGGCGUAUAAAUGCAAGUUCGAUAUUAUAAAAGUAUUCGCCCAAAAAAAUGAUAUGUUAAGGAUGGAAACUAAAGUACAGUCGUAUAUCCAAUAUUAUAAAAGUACCCGCCAAUGUAUUCUGUAAUAAAGCCCACUAAGUUUGCGUAACUUACAAGCGUCAUGUUUAUGUUUAAGGUAUUAUUGUAUGAGUGAGAGCACCUGGAGGGACGAAGCUAGGAAUGCACCAAGGAAGCGGCGAACUGAGUUCUUAUGCAUAUAGUGGACAACUUGGGAAAGCAACAUAUAGUAGGACUACGCCUUAAAGAGUUUGUCUUUAUUAAAGUUUUGUGUUGUAAAAAGUUAUGACAAGGCUGAUGCAUUUUUAAAUACUUUUCUUUGUUUAUUUAAUUGUGAUUCUUAAUAAAAUAAAAAGAAAUAUAUUUUAUUAAAGGGAUAUUCAAAUAUUUUAAAAUUUUAACUAAGCGUAUUUGUUUGGUAAUACCUAAGAUCUGAACCUGGUAAUUCGGGUCGAGUUGAAGGCGUUAUAAAAUGCCUCCAACCAGUAGCUAAACCAUAUCUUUUGAGAAUGAAAGGUUUUGUAUAUAUGUAUAAGGAUAUGAUAUUUUACAUGAAUCAACACUUGUAUGCAUCAUGCCAAUAAAUUAUGUUACAUACUCCCCAUUAAAAUUGAUUUCUAGUCUGGAGGCAAAUAUAACUCAUUUUAGAAUUUUCGAGUUGCCGUAUAUGUUCAAGUCGCUCCAUCACAAUGCACAAAAUGAUAUUUAAAGAAAGUUGAGAAUAUAUAUUAAUUAUAAGUCUCUUUGUAUUAUUAGAUGUUUUUGUUCGAAUUGGAGAUUCAAUUAUGAUAUGAUUUAAUGAUUACAACUUUAAUUUAACAAGUUUUCCUAACAUAAGGGGAAGAGAUAUGGUAGUAGCAAGAUGAAAUGAUUAAAUUGAAUGAAUUAUCAUUAUCUAGAUUCUCGCAAAAAUUAAUUUAAACCAAAAGUUCAAAGAGAUAAUUUAUUUUAUUUCAAGUUAACUGCCAGAUGUAUUUAUUGACCUAUAGAGAAAAACCAAGAGUUAUAUAUCAGCUAAUGCGUUGAAGUCACAAUCGGACAACCUGCUAGAAUAAAUUGAAAGUAAUGCAUGUUUAAAGCAUGGUAGAUCCAUCAAUUUCAAAGAUGAAAAUUCUCGUAAAAAAAAUAAAUCAAGAUAACCAUUUAGUGGAGGCGGGUGCUCUUGAAGAGACCCAAGGCAUAACUAAUUAUUAACACUUCAAGAAGAAAUUUAGGUACAUGAUGAUGAAAAUAGUGAAAAUAAAGAGAUAUCAAUAGGAUAUGUCAAUACGAGAAAAUGUGAAACCAUGAAAAUAAAAAGUUGUCGACAAUGAUUUUGCAAUAUUGAAAUAAUAAAAGAAAAUGAGGAUCUUGAAUAAAUUUGUCAAGAAAUAUAUACAUGAAAUAGAUUGGCCAAAACAGAAAGAUUCAACUCAAGUAUAAUCAAAUUCGUUAAGUUUUUGGACCAAAUAUCUAAAGGUAUAAAGCCAAUAAGGGUAUAAAUUAAGUAGCUUUGAAAAAUGAAAUAAGGAAAAUAUAGUUUUUUUCACUAAGUCCUAGAAUUGAUUAUGAAAUAUACUCUUUUGUGGUAGAUGCAAUAACCUUUAGAUAUCUUAUUAGUUUAGCAGUUCAUGAAAAUUUGCCAUGUGUCUAAUGAGUGUUGUUAUAGCCUUUUAUAUGAAUAUAGUGAAGUUCAUAUUAAAAUAUUUGAAGGAUUUAGAAUGCUGGAAGGAUAUAGAAAUUUCUAGGAAAUUGUUCAAUAUGCUUGCGUAAAUAUAUAUAUUAAUUGAAAUGAUUUGAACAUAUGUAGUAAAUUAGACUCAGUGGAUUGUAGUUGAAGGAAGAGUAUAAGAUGAUCCAAAAUACCUGUAUGUAUUUUUGUAGAAGGAUCAUGAUCAAAGUUUGCUAUGGUUAUUGCCAGAACUCCUGAAGAGAUCGAAAUAUAUUUCUCCAAAAUUCUUCCUCACUCAUGACAUUUAGAAGAAUGAUGAUAUAAACGUUGAUCAAACACCAUUCAAGCGAUCAUUUGAAAUGCUAGUAUUUUGGAUGGAAUAAGUAGAAUAUGAGAUAAUAUGUGAUGCUGACAUGAGGGGGAGUAAAUAUGCGAUAUACUCUUUUUCCCUUAACUGAGGUUUUGUCCCAUUGAGUUUUCCUAGUAAGUUUUUUAAUGAGGCAGCAUGUUAUGCGUAUUAUAGAUUUGUGUACUCUUUGUCCUACACUAAGAAUUUUUUUCCCAUAGGAAUUUUAUCUUAGCCAGGUUUUAAUGAGGCACAUCAUCUACUAAUAUAUAUCUAAGGGUGAGUGUUAUAAGUAUUUCAUUAUUAAGUAGAUGUCCAUCAAGAUAAAAAUAAGUUUGAUAUACUCUAGGACUCUAAUAUUAAUUAGAAGUAAAGUUUUAUUUCAUUUAUACUUAUUAUGUCUAUAAAUAUAGACUUUAGAAAAGAUUUAUUAAAAAUUUAUUCUCAUUUAUUCUCCUGUUUAUCUUUAUCUUUUAUUUUUUUAUAAUUUUAUUUCAUAAUACGCUAUGAUAGUUAAUCUAAACAAAACUAAAGUUAAAACAGAAAAAAAAAUUGAAGUUACAACACAUGCAUGUAAACCGUAAUGGCGUCAUCGGCAUUUAAAGCCUAGCUAGAAAAAGACCUUUUAUGAUUUGUAUUCUUAGAUUUAUAAAGGAAAUUGAAAUAAAAGACAGAUUUUAGAAAAAUGUAGUUUUUAAUCGGUAAAGGCAUGAUCGAGAUUUUCGGUCUAUCGGUUGAAGGACAAGUUUCAUCCUUUUGCAGUGAAUCAUUAAAAGGUUUAGGUUAAAAUAUGUCAUAAGUCCGACUCUCUUUACAAAUUUAGUUUUAAUUUUUAAAUUAUUAUUUUCAAAAGAUUAGUCUUUCGAUUUUUUAGAUUUUAAAAUUUAAGUUAGUUGUUAACAUUUUUUUUGGUUAAAUUAAUUGGAGUAAUAUUUUGAAAUAAAAAAAAAACUUUAAAGCAAUGUAAUUAAAAAAAAACGUUGUAGUGAACCUGAAUCAUAAAAAAUAAUUUUAAUAGUGUUAAUAGUCGAAGCUAAACUUUGAAAAAUUAAAAGUAGAGACCUUAAAUUUCUAAAAAUAAAAAUAUAAAGACUAAAUUCUAAAUUAAUGAAAAGUAUAAAAACUUAUGAUAUAUUUUAACCAAAUAUUUAUUCUUAAAUAAAAAUGAUAUUCUAAAACAUCAAAAAGGGAAAAGAAAAGUCACUAUCUAUAACCUCAUUAACAAUAUACACCUAAAAUAUAUGUGCAUGGUCUAAAAGAUUACUUUUAGCAAACAAUGUUUUGUUUCCUACAAAGAAGUUGAUAAAAUAAUAGGAUUUAAAAAUGACAGGAGAAGAUGAGAAGACUAAUAUUUCUUUAAAAUAUUAAUCUCAUUAUAAAUUUUUAUUAUAUUUGUUUGUUUUCGAUACAAUAUCUAGCACUAUUUAUAAUUCUUCUUCAAUCCUUAAAUAGGAAGAUAAUGUACUUCAGCGCACUCAAACCUACGUCUUCCUACAUUAACAACAAUACCAAAUUAAAAGACUAAAAAAUUAAGAUAAUUUAUUUUUUUAAUAAAACUAAGAUAGUUUAUGUCAUUGGUCUAUGCUAUGUAUUGUAGCUCUAUGUAUUACUUUCGUGGAUAAUAUAUCUUGCAUUGAUAAAAGAAAGGCGAAGAUUAAAAAAAGUUUAAUGAUGACAAAGAUGAUUAUACUACUCCUUUUAAAUGUCAAUGUAUUUGAAUGUAUGUUCUUAUAUUACUACAUUAUGAUUUUUAUAUAUAUAAUUUUGUUUAAAAUUUUAUUUCUCAUUAUUUAAUUAAAUUUAAAAAUUAUCAUAAAAUAGAUUAUUUAUUUUAACGUUUUAUUAUUUAAUUUAAAUAACGAUUUUUAGUGUAAUUAUUUAAUACCUAAAUUUCAUUAAUUUCAAUUAAUUAUUUAAAAUAUAUUAAAAUUAAUUAUGAAUAAUUAUAUUGAAAAUAUUUACAAUAAAUAAAUUCGAUUUUAAUUAAAACAAAUAAUAACCCAUGCAUCACACGAGAAAGAAAACUAGUUAUAUAAUAUUUUAUUUUAUAUUAAAUUUAAAUUUUUUAUAUAAUUAAAAUGUCGUAUAGCACAACAUGAUAGGUUGAGAGAUAUUUUUUAACAAAAGGUAACAUUUGGAUUAAAGUAGAAACAAAAUCAAAAUUUAAGUGCCACUUCUAAAAAUAUACCUAAAUAGAAAAGACGUUUUAAUUUAAGGGUUAAGUUUUUAUUUAAGUCAAUUCUCACUGAUGAUUAUCACCUACCAUGCAUUUGAAAAGAAAUACUUCAUUUCAUUUUAUAAAAAAAGAUAAAUCUCACCGUUUUAGUCAUUCAAUUUCAAAAUGUUUCAAAAUGGUCACUGAACGAUUUGAAAAUUUUCAUUUAAGUCAUUGGUUUUUAAAAUCAUUGUUGUAUGAUUUUAUCUAUUCGCACCUUCUGCACCAAUUGAAAGCUUUAAUUUCCCUUCUCUUCUACAAUUCAAUUUUUUCAUACAAUAUCUUUGGAUGUCACGAAUAUACAAACCAAAAUUCAAACAAAUUUCUUCUUCAAUCUCCAAUACUAACCAUCAUAUUUAUUUGGAUCUAAGGUAUGUUCUUGUACUCAUCGAUGGAUACUGACUCAUCAUACUGACCGUGGAAUCGAUGCUUGGUGACUUAACAACUCAGUGACUAAAAUAAAAACUUUUGAAUAAUUUAGUGAAUUAAAUGAAAACUUCCGAAUAGUUCAAUGAUCAUUUUAUAACUUUUUAAAGUUGAGUGAUCAAAACGUAAAUUUGUUAAAUUUUAGUGCCCUUUGAUGUAAUUUAUUAAAAAACUAGGAUUUUUUUUAAUAAUACCACGUGAUAAAGGGUAAUUCAUUCUUUUUAUGUUUCCCUAAAUAAUGGAUUUUUAAUUUAAGAAUACCUACCAUAUGAUAGUGAUAUACAUGGCAUCACUUCGAAAAAUAAGACCGACCAUUUGUAAAUCCUUUUGCAUGAUAUCUAUCAAAGUUGUUACUCUCCUCUAAGUAUCUUCUUUUCCCACCGCUAUGGAAAAAUCAAUAUUUUCUGGACCCAUUGAUGAAGAAUUAAAACCAGACGAAAAAGGUUACCAAAAGACAUUCAAAAACUACAAUCAACUACUACCGACUCUCCCAAAAGGCAAAGGUUGGUGGUUAGACCAGCUUCCCCAAUACCAAGGCUUUUGGCUAACUAGUUUUGGCCUAAGAGGAAGCAUGUUGAUCGAUGACCACUUCAAGCAUUAGCCCAUUGACAUCAUCGUUGCAACAUCCCCUAAAAGCAACACUACUUGGCUUAGAGCCUCUUUUUUCUCCAUUAUCAAUAGACAUUCCUUUGAUUUUAGCUACCAUCAUUUUUGCAAGGCAAACCCUCGAGACUUGGUCAUCUUCUUCGAAGGAAUUAUUUAUACAGAUGAGUCAACUUCCUUUGUCGAUAAGCUUCUUUCUCCUCGUAUUCUCUCAACUCACCUUCCUUUCUCUUUGUUUCCAAAACGCAUGACCAAUGAUAGAAAUCGAGGAGUUUAUUGAGACAAAUUUGAUCAGAUUUUAUUUCUUUCUUUCUUUAGGAUUGAGUCAAUUCUUGAUUAUAAUUUGAUGAGAUCUUGUUUCUUUCUUUUUUUAAGAUUGAGUCAAUCUUUGAUUAUAAAGAUUCUUUAACUCUUUCCUUGUAAAGCUUCAUGUGUUGUAGGUUUGACGGGGAAAUUGAGAGACGAAGAGUGGAAACGUGGGAGAGAUUUUUGGGAAAUCCUUUUUAAUUAAUUUUUUUCAUCAAUUGGACAAAAAUAAUAUACAAACUAGAUGUUCAAAGAUAGGGGUUGGGACAAUAAUAACAAAAAUUCAAGGGAAGAGAUUUGAACAGAAGACAUUUCACACGCAAACACAAUACUUAACCACUAAACCAAAUCAAUUCACUUGAUAAAUUUUAACAAUUCAAAAACUAAAAUUUUGGGACAUUACAACUUUCCCUUCUUAAAGAAAUUUUGACUUCAAAAUUUACUUGACUCGAACAGAUGUGAUUCAAUUAAAUAAUUUUAAGCAACAUAUAAAAUUAUAAACUUAAAAUAAAUAAUUUAAAAUCAUAAAAGAAAAGGGAAAAAAUUCACAAAUUAAAUAGUUUUAAGCAACAUAUAAAAUUAUAAAUGAUGCUUGUGGUUUCUAAUGAAAAUGUAAACUGUUAUGUAGAAUAUAUUAUGUUUAAAAUAUUAUCAUUCUUGUCUGAAAUUUUGAUUCAACUUAAUAUAAUUAAUUUUUGUAUGGUUAAAUUAUCUUUCAUGUUCGUUUUACUAGAAAAUUUUAAAUAAUUCGAUUUGAUUAAUUUGAAAUUUAAAUUUUAUUCUAAUUAAAUCGAGUUUUGCUCAGCUCUAAGAAUAACAGAGAGGAUGGUGAGGGAAAGAAAUAUUUUUUAAUAUUAAUAUAAUUAUUUUUAAUUAAUAUUAAAAUCAAUAUUAAAAUAAUAUUCUUUAAUUAUAUCUCAACUCGCUUAAUUUUAAAUGUUUAACUAUUUUAAAUGUUUAAUUAUUCAAUUCUCUUAACUGGCUGUUGACUUGUAUGUCAUGGUUCUUAAUUUAAAAAUGCUAUUGACGUGGCAGUACCUAAUUGAUUAAAAAAAAUUUUCCUAAUGGUAUUAACUUUUAGGGUAAAAUGAGUAACGAAAAUUAAGUUUGAGUAACAUAUUUGACUAAAAAAAAUUUAAGUAUCAUUUUGAAAAUAAGGUAUAGUUUAGGGGGUAUUUUUUUAAAUUAAACCAUUAAAAUAUUAAUCAAAUAUAAGUUAAAAACAUUUAAAACUUAAAUUAACUCUCUCUUUUUUAAUCGAUGUCUAUUUAUUUAUAGAUUCAGAGAGGUAUCAUUUAAAUUGUUAGUUCAGAAGGACCAACUCGAGAACACCGAUAAGGAAGUUGUGGUGGAGCCAGCUACUGGCUUUGUAUAGCUAGGUUUAAAAUAAUGGUUUGUUAAUUUAAAAAUACCACGUGAUGUUGGUAUACGCAACGUGUAGCUUUGCCAUUCCCACUUUUGUCAAAUAAAACGAUCAUUUGCAAAUCCUUCUUGCAAGAUCUCAAGAAAAUUAGUUGCUCUACUCUACCAUCUUCCCAAUGGAGACUUCAAAAACUUUUUCGAGCGUAGAGACACUAGAUGAAGCUUACCAAAAGGCAUUCAAAAACUGCGAUGAACUGCUGCCAACUCUCCCUCAUACCAAAGGUUGGUGGUUCGGCCAGCUUUUCCAAUACCAUGGCUUUUGGAUACCAGGUUUUUAUUUUUGUUCAUAUCCCUAUUUCGUUACACUUAAAUGUUAUUUUCGCUCAUCUUAUAAUAGAAUGAGUCUGUUAAUUUAGUGAUUAAACUUCAAUGUACUCUUUAAGUAUGUGAAUCCUUGCUUGGGCAAUUAGAAUUAUUUUUAUUAAUGGUCUUGUGAGUAGUACGGCUAGUGAAAUUUGGAUUCGAAAUGAAGUAUCUGGGAAAUAUGUUAGAUAAGGAUUAGGUUUGUUGGGAUAAUGAAAAUAUUUAUUGAAAGAGAAAAAAAAAGAACAAUCCCAAAUUUUUGAUCCACUAAUCACGUGUUUUUUCACUUUGGUCUUCGGUAAAGUUUUCCCAAAAUUUCUUUCUUUCGUUAAUCUUCCCGUUUCUCUCCAAACUUCCUUGGUUUCUUGAUUGUGGUCUCUUGUGUUAUUCAAUUUCUGUGGUGCACGUGUGAUUGAAUUGUUCGCAACUUGACUCUUGCGUAAGCAUUGUCUAUGUUCGUUCCUUCUGUCACUGAGUUUCCCUUUCGUUAUCCUUGGCUAAGUUGGGAUUUUUGUGCUGCAUUUUCUGUUGUUAAUCGUGUGGUUUUUUUAGGUGAAGGUCACGAAAUGGUUAAUCCACUUGCGGAUCUGGCAGCUAGUCUGUAUAUAUUUUGUAAAGUGACUUAUGAUCACUUAGAGGUGUGUGGGGCUGGAUGGGUAUUUAAUACCCUAAUUGGUAUAUAGGGAUGGUCGGAGAUGGUGUGUAACAGAUGAAGGUAGGAUCUGAAUCUGUAUUUAUUAUGCAUCUAAAUCUGUAUCUGCUAUGCAUCGAUGUCUGUAUUAGUUCCGUAAUUUGUUUAAGCAUGUGUAUCUGAUUUAUUGUAUAUAAUGAGUUACACACUGAAUUCAUAAGCUCACUUUCUGUUUCUUUGGUUCUCAAGUAAUCCUCAAACGUAGGACGGAUCAGUGUGAUAGGAGCUCGAUUUUACAUUUUUGUUUUAUAUUUUUGUUUUAUAUUUCCUAAAUUUUGUCCAGUUUAACUUAUUUUUGUUCCGUUGGACUGUUUUAGAUUUUUGGACUGUUUUUAAUUUCGAUUUUAUUUUUAUUUCUCAUUUAGAACCGUUAAACAUUUUUUUUAUAAUACCAAACCUAUCUGCAAAUGUUGGAUUUCAAAAUCAAGUCGUGUUUCCAAAACUUUAUUUAACUAAAAAACAAAACAAAUUGAUUUAAUAAGUGAUCAUCGACAAAGCUAAUAAAUUAUUUUAAAAGGAAGAUUUCCUCAAAUAAACUGGAGUUUUAAUUAUUUUACAAUUUCAAAAUGGGUUCUAGAUUUUCAAAUAAAUUUAAAUAACACCUUCAUAUUUGGUGAUAAUGUCUAGGCUAGGUUUAGAGUGUUACACCUCUUUUUCUUAAUCACCUACUUGUGAAACUUCUUUUUGUUGAAAGAUGCUUUUGCAAAUCUUUUGGUAAUGUCCCAUCUGCAUGGUGCCUCCAAACUUUUAAAAGUAUUGCAGCAAAAUGCGGUGAGUUCAUUGCUACAGAUAGGGGUGAGAAAAACUCGAUUUGACUCGAAAAAAUCGAAAAAAAAUUCGAAUUUUGAGUUAAACGAAUCGAGUUAUUCGAGUUAAUCGAGUUAUUCGAAUCAACUCAAAUUUUUUUUUUCGAAUUUCGAGUUCGAAUCGAGUUGAGUUUUCGAAUUCGAAUAAUUCGAAUAUCAAACUAUAAUAUUUUACAUUUUUACCCCAAACUCCCAAACCUUUUUACUUUUCCUUCAAAACUUUUACUCCUUCCCACUUUCCCCCCAAAACUUUUACUCCCCUCCCCUCCCAACCCCCCAAUCUACCCAAAAUCCAUUUCCCACCAAAAUUUUACUCCCCCAUCCACUUUUUCUCAAAAUUUUACUCCCAAAAACCCUCAAAACCUUUUAUUUUCCCCCAAAAUUUUUAUUCCCUCUCACUUUUCUCCUAAAACUUUUAUUCCCUUCCCAUCCCCCUCCCAUCUAUCCCAAACCCUCCCCCCUCCAUUUUUUUUUAAUAUUUUCCCUUCAAAAUUUUACCCCCCUAUUUACUUUCUCUCAAACUUUUAUUUCCCAAAACUUUUUAUUUUUCCUCUAAACUUUUACUUCUCACCCUUUACUCUCAAAUAAAAAAUCAAAAUUAUCCCAAAAAAAUCACUAAACAUAAAUAGUAAUAAUUUUAUUUAUAUCUACUAUUUAUAUUAUUAAAUUAAAUUUCACAUUUUAUAUUAUUUAUAUUAUUGAAUUUUUUAGUCAUAUUGAAUAUUUAUAUUAAAAUUGAAUUAUUAAUUAUGCCAUAAAAUAUUCGUGUUAAAAUUUUAUAUUAGUAUCAAUUUCACAUUUUAUUUUUAAAAUAACUUUUAUUAAAAAAUUAUAUUUUUACAUUUAAUAUAUUUUUUAAUUCCAAAUUACAUAGUGACAAGAAUCUGAAAAUAAUUGAAACAACUAAGCAAGCAAAGAAGCUAACCAGUAUAUAAAAAAUUAAUAAAUAAAUUAUGAGGUGAUGAAAGUUAAUAAAAAAAUUGAUUAAGGUGGAUAAAUUUUAUUACGAUGGGUGACAAUGGUUACAAGGACCCAAAAUUAUUUUUUAAAAUUUAACUCAACAAAUAUAUUCGAUUCGAUUCGAUUCGAAUUCCAUCUCACUCGACUCGAUUUGAGAAAACUUCAAAUAAAGUUAGGAUGAUAAAAUGAGAUUCGAAAAUUCAAUUAACUCGAAAAUUUUCGAUUCGAUUCGAUUCGAUUCGAUCGAAUGCUCACCCCUAGCUACAGACAGUAACAUUUUAAAUUGCAAUUCUUUUACUAGAAGAAUUUUCAUGAUUAUCACGGAUCAUCUGAGCAGAAUUCAUGAAGAACUGGAUCUCAAAGUCAGUGAUUUUUUUUUUCAAAAUUAGUGUCAUUCAAACAGAACCAAUGGUUAUUCCUAAAAUACAAAAUUAGGAUGAAGAUUACUCAGGGGAUAAUGAAUCGCACAGUGUUCCAUUCAUAGAGGCAGAGAUUAACAAAGACGUUAACCAUGUUGGAGGAAAAUUUGAUAUUUAGUCCCUACAUUUCAAAAGAUAAAAAUUCAAUCCUCUUAUUUUCUUUUUAAUUUAAAAAAAUCUCAUUUCAAUCAUUAUUAUCCUUAUUAGUUUCUAUUAAAAAUUGUAAACUUAAUAUGUUUAUUUUUCCUUAAUCAUAUGACACAUCACAUGAGAGUAACGUAAUCAACAUGCUAAAUUGACAAAUUUUGUCAAAAAAUAUUAAAGGUUUUAACGAUUGAAUUGGUAUUUUAAAUCAAAACAAUUCAAAAACUAAAAUUUUAAGUAUAGAGAUUAAAUCUCAAAUUUUAUGAAAGUACGGGGACUAACAUCAUAUUUUAACCAUUUAUUGUAUCUUAAGAAUCAAAUUGACAAUUUUUUUAUUUCAACUUCAUCGUUUUUGUUGGAGCCAGCUACUGGCUUUGUAUAGCGUGGGACUCGCGAGGUUUAAAAUAAUGGUUUGUUAAUUUAAGAAUACCACGUAAUGUUGGUAUACGCAACGUGCAGCUUUGCCAUUCCCACUUUUGUCAGAUAAAACGAUCAUUUGCAAAUCCUUCUUGCAAGAUCUCAAGAAAAUUAGCUGCUCUACUCUACCAUCUUCCCAAUGGAGACUUCAAAAACUUUUCCGAGCGUAGAGACACCAGAUGAAGCUUACCAAAAGACAUUCAAAAACUGCGAUGAACUGCUGCCAACUCUCCCUCAAACCAAAGGUUGGUGGUCAGUCCAGCUUUUCCAAUACCAUGGCUUCUGGAUACAUAUUUUUGGCAUAAGAGGAAGCAUGUUGAUCCAUGACCACUUCAAGCCUCGAUCCACUGACAUCGUAGUCGCAACAUCCCCUAAAUGUGGCACCACCUGGCUCAGAGCCCUCGUUUUCUCCAUUAGCAACAAAGCUUCCUUUGAUUUCAGCGACCAUCCUUUGCGGAAAGCAAACCCUCAAGACUUAGUCCCUUUCUUCGAAUCAAUUAUUCAUAAAGAUGGGUCAACUUCCUUCGUCGAUGGGAUUCCUUCACCUCGCCUUCUUUCAACUCACCUUCCUUACUCUUUGUUCCCAACACGCAUGACCGAUGAUACCUCGGCUUGCCGUUUCGUAUACAUCUGCCGGGACCCCAAAGACGUUUUCGUUUCAAAGUGGCAUUUCGCGAACAAGUUGAGACCCAAAGAACUGCCACCACUUUCACUAGAGGAAACCUUUGACUUGUUUUGCAAAGGGGUUUCUCACUAUGGACCGUUUUGGGAUCACGUAUUGGGGUACUGGAAAGCUAGCGUGGAGUCAACGAAGAAGGUGUUGUUCUUGAAGUAUGAAGAUGUAAAGAAGGAGCCUUUGGGUUGUGUGAGGAAAGUUGCAGAGUUCUUAGGAGUACCCUUUACACCAGAGGAAGAAAACAAAGAGAUUGUGGAACAAAUAGUGAAGCUGUGCAGUUUUGAGAGCAUGAGCAAUCAAGUUGUAAACAAACUUGACAAAAGAUAUCAGCAACGUCCUAUAAGCAACUCCGAUUUCUUCAGGAAAGGUGAAGUUGGAGACUGGGUUAACCAUUUGUCACCUCAAAUGGCUGAGAAAUUGGAUCAGAUUACUGAACAAAAACUUCAAGAUACUGGAUUCAUCUUUCAUUGACUCCAAAGUUUCUCACUGAAUUUGAUUCAUAUUUGAAUGAAGAUUUUCUUUCUAAUUACGUGAUUUGCGUAUUAUGUGUCUUUUUCUAUUUUGAUGAUCAACUAUGUAACGUGUUUUGUAUCUUCAAAAAUAAUAUAAUACAUCAAGAAAUAUCAAAUUAUACAUUAUUAUUUUAACUCUAAAAUUAAAUUAUUUUUAUAAAAUUCUAGAACCCUACGUUUUAAAUUUCUAAACUUUAAAACUUAAAUCCUACACCUCUUUUUAGGCACUAGACCUUAAUUUAACACUUCCUCUAAAAUCAUAAAUCUUAAAAUUUUAAAUUCUAACCGGCCAUACCAUAAAUCAUAAAUCUAGUUUAAAAAACCAUACACCUUAUGCUACUAUUACUAUUUGUUACUUUUAUUUAAUUUUUCGAACUAGAGUAAAUUAGAGCAACAAUAAACAAAAAAUCGGAAUGUAUUUUAACUUAAAUAAGAAUAAACUAGAAAUACAGUCAAAUCAAUACAAAACACAAAUAAACUAAAAAUUAGAAUAAUCUAAAUUUAAAUCAAAAUAAUUAUUCAAGAAAAUACAUGUGUUUAUAUUUUGCAUUAUAUUAGAAUUGGUGUUGAAUUUGAAAAAAGGAAAAUGAUUCGUAUGAUAUUCAUGCUUAUUUUCAGAAUAAGAUAUUGAUAUGAGGACGACAUAAUUAGUUGAUGUUUGUGUUGCGGAAGCGACGAUAAUAUUAAUAACAAUAUUAUCAGAAAUAUUUAGAUAAUUAUUAUGCCAACAAUUAUACUAAGAAAAUUCCCAGUUAAAUUGGAGGGGUCACAAAUGGUCCCGCUUAAAACCCAACAACUAGACAGAACUCACUUAGAUAUUUAUAGCAAUAAUAACUAAAUAAAUAUAACCAACAUAAAGCUAUUAAAUAUAAGCAAACAAAUAAGAAAUAAAAUACCAGAGAUUUAACGAGGUUCGGCCAAUUUAGCUUACGUCCUCGGACACUACCAAAUUAAUAUUUCUUCUAGAAAUAUUACAAAGGAGAAGAUUUUGGGAUGAUACAACCAAAGGGGGAGGGGUUCUAUAUAUAACAAACCAAACCCCCUCCCUUUCUAUCUUUUCCUAAUGUGGGAUAUUGCCAAUAUUCAACAAAUCUCCACCUUGGCGAUAUUCCACAUCUUCGAACAUCUUCUCAUAACACAAACUUCAAUAGUGUCUUCAAAUUUGCGCCAACGACGCCAUAUCAAAUGUGUCGGACAUUGAUCAAGUCUAAACAAUGUUCAAACUUGGCCCUUGUAACCACCUUAGUCAGCAUAUCUGCAGGAUUCUCCGUAGUGUGAAUCUUUUGGAGAAGUAUCUCCUCUUCUUCGAGAAUUUCCCGCACAAAGUGAUAGCGAACGUCUAUGUGCUUCGUUCGUGCAUGAAAAACUUGAUUCUUUGCUAAAUGAAUAGCACUCUGACUGUCAGAAUAUACCUUAAGUUGUUUCUGACCAACUUCCAAGUCUUUAAGCAAUCCAUGAAGCCAAAUUGCUUCCUUCACAGCCUCUGUAAUUGCCAUAUACUCUGCCUCUGUUGUAGACAAAGCCACCGUGGACUGUAAGGUAGAUUUCCAACUAACUGGCGCUUUCGCUAAAGUAAACAAAUAGCCAGUUGUAGACCGUCGCUUAUCCAAAUCACCUGCAUAAUUAGAAUCACAAUAUCCAACUAUGCAUUGACCAAAUGAUUCAUCCUGCUCGAAUGCCAAUCCGACAUCUAUGGUAUUUUGGAGAUACCGCAGAAUCCAUUUCACAGCUUGCCAAUGACCCCUGCCCGGAUCAUGCAUGUACCUGCUAACAACACUAACAGCCUGUGAAAUAUCUGGUCUUGUACAUACCAUUGCAUACAUCAAGCUUCCAACUGCAUUUGCAUAUGGGACUUUUGCCAUGUACUCUCGUUCUUCCUUAGUCGUUGGAGAUAACUGGUUACUUAGUUUAAAAUGAGGAGCAACUGGGGUACUUACAGGUUUUGUACCUUCAGACAUACUGAAACGUUGUAGUACCUUCUCCAAAUACUGUUUUUGUGACAGCCAAAGUUUGCCCCUCUUUCUAUCCCGAGUUAUUUCCAUGCCGAGAAUCUUCUUAGCUUCCCCUAAAUCCUUCAUCUCAAACUCUUUACUCAACUGAGCCUUCAGUCUAUCAAUCUCCAUUUGGCUCUUUGCUGCAAUCAGCAUAUCAUCAACAUACAAGAGUAAGUAGAUGUAGGAACUAUCUUGAAGCUUGCGCAAAUACACACAAUGAUCGUAUUUGCUUCUUUUGUACUUCUGGUCCUUCAUGAACCUGUCAAAUCGUUUGUACCAUUGUCUCGGAGAUUGUUUCAAUCCGUACAACGAUUUGCUAAGUUUACACACCCAAUUUUCUUUACCAGCAACCCUGUAUCCAUCUGGCUGAGUCAUAUAGAUUUCCUCCUUCAAAUCACCGUGUAGAAACGCGGUCUUCACAUCAAGUUGAGCUAGCUCCAAAUUCAACUGCGCUACCAAGGCCAACAAAAUUCUAAUGGAGGAAUGUUUAACAACUGGAGAAAAUACCUCAUUAUAGUCAAUUCCCUCCUUCUGAGCGUAGCCUUUAGCCACUAACCUUGCCUUGUAAUGAACAUCUUCUUUGUCGGGAAAUCCUUCUUUCUUUGCAAAUACCCAUUUGCAACCAAUCGCCUUCUUCCCUUUUGGUAGUUGUGCCAACUUCCACGUCUUGUUUUUCUCUAGAGAUUGCAUUUCCUCUUCCAUUGCACCUAACCAUCUAUUAUUCUCUAAACUCUGAAUGGCUUCGGUGUAAGUGGAUGGAAUAUUAUCAACAACUGGAAGUGCAUAAGCUACCAUGUCAGUGAAACGAGCUGGUUUCUGAAUUUCUCGUCUCUGCCUACUGACUGCAAUUGGCUCUGAUUGCUGUUGAGGUUCUUGGGUAGAAACCUCUUCCUCAUCUGACUCUGCAUCUGCCAAUGAAGAAUCACUAGUGGUACCUUCUGCUGGAAUUACCACACUCUGCUCAAACUCCACCUGCUGCGGAGUACACUCCACCUGCUGCGAAGUACUACUCACUCCUUCUGGAUUUACCUUAUUCAACAUGGCAGAUUCAUGAAAGGUAACAUCCCUACUGAUUAUCGUCUUCUUUGCCUCUAGACACCACAAACGAUAUCCCUUAACACCAGCAUUGAAGCCCAUGAAUAGAGCCUUCUUUGCUCUUGGAUCUAACUUUGAUUCUUUCACAUGAUAAUAUGCAAUAGAACCAAAAAUGCGCAAGGUGUCAUAAUCAGUAGCAGGUUUUCCAUACCAUUUCUCCAAAGGAGUCUUGCCAUUUAUAGCAGAUGAUGGCAAAUGAUUGAUGAGAUGUUGAGCGUACGUCACAGCCUCAGUCCAAAACUUUCUAUCUAAUCCAGCAUUAGAUAACAUACAUCGAACUUUCUCCACAAGCGUUCGAUUCAUACGCUCUGCCACCCCAUUCUGUUGCGGUGUUCCACCUACGGUGAAGUGCCUUACUAUGCCACAAUCUUGGCAUAUCUUCAGGAAAGGAUCGCUUUUAUAUUCUCCACCGUUGUCUGAUCGGAGAACCUUAAUCUUCCUUCCUGUCUGAUUUUCAACUUUAGUUUUCCACUUAAGGAAAACUUCAAGCACCUCAUCUUUGUUCUUCAUAGGAAACACCCAAACUCGUCUGGAAAAAUCAUCAAUAAAGGUGACAAAAUAACGUCUUCCUCCAAGUGAUGGAGUCUUGGACGGUCCCCAUACAUCAGAAUGCAUAUAAUCCAGAAUACCUUUAGUAUUGUGAAUCCCAGUGCCAAAUUUCACCCUUCGUUGUUUUCCCAGAACACAAUGCUCGCAAAAUUUAAGUUUGCAAGUCUUUGUACCUUUCAAUAAUCCUUGCUUGGCUAGAGUUUGCAAGGAUUUUUCACCAGCAUGGCCCAAACGCAUAUGCCACAGCUGUGUUGCCUCAGGAUCCUUCUUGGUACUCGUAAUUGCUGCUGCUGUUGUCCCGACCACUGUACUACCUUGGUAGUAAUACAUAUUGUUCUUUCUUAUGCCUUUCAACAUCACCAAUGCUCCUGAAGUUGCUUUAAGAACUCCAUCUCGUAUUGUCACAACUAGGCCUUUAGCUUCUAACGACCCCAAAGAGAUGAGAUUCUUCUUCAACUUUGGGACAUAUCGUACAUCCCGCAAAAUUCUAGUAGAUCCAUCAUGACUCCUCAGUUUAAUUGAACCUAUCCCGGCUAUUUUACACGUGUUAUCAUUACCCAUGUAAACAACCCCUUCAUCUAGUUUUUGAAAUUCAAAGAACCAUUCCCGAAUGGGACACAUAUGAUAGGAACAACCAGAAUCCAUGAUCCACUCAUCUGCAUAUAAUGUUGAAGAUGUCAUACUAAGAGAAAAGUCUGACUCUGCUUCACUAUUGCAUUCUGCAACAUUUGCAUCUUGCGGAGUCUUCCAUUUUUUCUUCAAUUUUGGACAAUCUUUCUUCCAAUGUCCUUUUUCUUUGCAAAAAGAACAUUCAUCUUUGGCAACAGCUCGACCUUUGGACUUUCUUCUCUUCCCUUUAGACUGACUUUGCUGACGACCUCUUGUUACCAAUGCUUCCACUGCUGCUUCACCUGAACCUUUCAACUUAUCCUUUCGGCGUAGUUCAUAGCUAUACAAUGCAGCAGUUACUUCAUUGAAAGUUACUUCCGAUUUUCCAUGAAGUAGAGUAGUUUCAAGGUACUCAAACUCCUCAGGAAGCGAUCCCAACAACAUUAACGCCAAGUCUUCGUCUUCAAAAGUCACAUCCAAAUUCAACAAAUCAGCCACCAGCUGAUUAAAAUUGGUAAUGUGCUCAUUCAUCGUGGUACCAGGAACAUAACUGAAACGAAACAGUCUUUUCUUCAUAUGCAACUUAUUUUGACUGUUCUUCUUCAGGAAUUUCUCCUCCAAUACUUUCCACAAUUUACUUGCAGAAGUCUCUUUACUGAAUAUAUACUUCUGCUCUCUGGAAAGACAUGAUCGAAUUGUACCACAUGCCAAUCGGUUGAUGGUCUUCCAUUCUUUAUCAUCAACCCCUUCUGGUUUUUCUUCCUCAAUGGCAAUAUCUAGACCUUGUUGAAAGAGGGCAUCUAGAAGCUCACUUUGCCACAUGCCGAAAUGACCUGUUCCAUCAAAAAUUUCCACUGCAAAUCUCGUAUUUGCAGUUCCAACCCUCGGCAAAAUGUACGAAGUGGAAGUUGUUGAUAUGGAUGGUUUUUCUUCUGUCAUUUUUGCCAUAGCUUCUAUUUAAUAGCCACCAAAUGCGGAAUACCCACAAGCUUUAGGAAAUGUUUCUGAUGUGUAAGAUCAGACUAAGCUGCAAACACAGAGCAUACUACAAAACCUUGGCUCGGAUACCAAUUGUUGCGGAAGCGACGAUAAUAUUAAUAAAAAUAUUAUCAGAAAUAUUUAGAUAAUUAUUAUGCCAACAAUUAUACUAAGAAAAUUCCCAGUUAAAUUGGAGGGGUCACAAAUGGUCCCGCUUAAAACCCAACAACUAGACAGAACUCACUUAGAUAUUUAUAGCAAUAAUAACUAAAUAAAUAUAACCAACAUAAAGCUAUUAAAUAUAAGCAAACAAAUAAGAAAUAAAAUACCAGAGAUUUAACGAGGUUCGGCCAAUUUAGCUUACGUCCUCGGACACUACCAAAUUAAUAUUUCUUCUAGAAAUAUUACAAAGGAGAAGAUUUUGGGAUGAUACAACCAAAGGGGGAGGGGUUCUAUAUAUAACAAACCAAACCCCCUCUCUUUCUAUCUUUUCCUAAUGUGGGAUAUUGCCAAUAUUCAACAGUUUGAAUGAGUCGGAGGCAAUUAGCUUUUAUUCUAUGUUGAAAUACCUACCCCAUUAAACAAAUUAAUAUUUAAUUUAAAACUACCACAUCAUAUGGCCACGUUGCAAUUAAAAAUUGCCUGUUACUGUUACUUGAGUACAAUAAAAAUCGAUCAUUUGCAAAUCCUUUUUCCAUAAUUUCCCUUCCCCAUGGAGAAUUCAAACUUUUUCGCCAUUGAGAAAGAAUUAAAGCUCGAUGAAGGGUACCAAAAGACAUACAAAAACGUCGAUGAACUGCUGCCCACUCUCCUUCGAAGUAAAGGCUGGUGGUUAGACCAGCUUCUUCAAUACCAAGGGUUCUGGUUAUCAACUUACGGCAUUCGAGGAUGCAUGUUGAUCGAUGACCACUUCAACCCUCGUCCCACUGACAUCAUCGUCGCAACAUCACCUAAAUGCGGCACCACGUGGCUUCGGGCCCUCGUUUUCUCUAUUAUCAACAGGAAUUCUUUUGAUUUCAGCGACCAUCCUUUGCGCAAGGCAAACCCUCGAGACUUGGUCCACUUUCUCGAAGCACAUAUUCGUGGAGAUGGGUCAACUGCUUCCAUUGAUGGGCUUCCUUCACCUCGGCUUCUCUCAACUCACCUUCCUUACUCUUUGUUUCCGGAAUGCAUGACCGAUGAUACCUCGGCUUGCCGUUUCGUUUAUAUCUGCCGAGACCCCAAGGAUGUUUUAGUCUCAAAGUGGCAUUUCGCUAACAAGUUGAGACCAAAAGGAGUGCCACCACUUUCACUAGAGGAAGCCUUUGACUUGUUUUGCAAAGGGGUA